rnacentral:rRNA from 1 species
AGGCUUAACACAUGCAAGUCGAGCGCCCCUUACGGGGAGCGGCAGACGGGUGAGUAACGCGUGGGAAUCUACCUUUUGCUACGGAAUAACGCAGGGAAACUUGUGCUAAUACCGUAUGUGUCCUUCGGGAGAAAGAUUUAUCGGCAAGAGAUGAGCCCGCGUUGGAUUAGCUAGUUGGUGGGGUAAAGGCCUACCAAGGCGACGAUCCAUAGCUGGUCUGAGAGGAUGAUCAGCCACAUUGGGACUGAGACACGGCCCAAACUCCUACGGGAGGCAGCAGUGGGGAAUAUUGGACAAUGGGCGCAAGCCUGAUCCAGCCAUGCCGCGUGAGUGAUGAAGGCCCUAGGGUUGUAAAGCUCUUUCACCGGAGAAGAUAAUGACGGUAUCCGGAGAAGAAGCCCCGGCUAACUUCGUGCCAGCAGCCGCGGUAAUACGAAGGGGGCUAGCGUUGUUCGGAAUUACUG